CUGAAAAACCUCACAACCUAUUGAGUUGAGUGUUCCUAUCAAAAUGGCCCUUUAAUAAUAAUCUUUUGUUGGAUGCUGGGUGGAGUGCUAACUUCCUUCUGGGGAUUGAUUGAAAUAACACUGAAGCUAAUCAGUAAUCAGACUUCUUAUCCUCUAUUCAGGACUUACUUUCGUCUGGUGUCAAGAGGGCUGUAGCAYGGUGACCCUGAAACAGUCCUCAACAGAUUGCAUGCCUUUAUAAACUAGCUGUGCUGAAUAGAGAAGAUUGAAUUGUUGGAAGUAGCUCACAUCAUGUAGUCAGCUUCAGAAAGUCAAUAUCCUUGAGAUAUCAUCCUCCUGUGUAACCAUCUGUCAGACUGUUCCCUGCCUUAAUAACUUCUGAGUCUACCGGACAAUUUCAAAUAUUGGUACAAGGCAAUCCAGGUCAUAAAGCCAUCAGAAACCCAGGGGCUAAUAUUCCUGUCUGGGAUCUGCUGCAAAUUCUGCACGAGUCACCUGCAUCCCUAAGUAAAUCAGUUGUAUCCCCUUUUCCUGAGCACUCAUCAG